GACGAACGCUGGCGGCGUGCCUAACACAUGCAAGUCGAACGGAGUUUAUGGAAGGGUAACCAGAAGUAAACUUAGUGGCGAACGGGUGAGUAACGCGUGAACAAUCUGCCUUCCAGAGGGGGAUAACGUUGGGAAACUGACGCUAAUACCGCAUAAGACCACAAUGCCGCAUGACGAAGAGGUCAAAGGAGCAAUCCGCUGGAAGAUGAGUUCGCGUCCCAUUAGGUAGUUGGUGAGGUAACGGCCCACCAAGCCGACGAUGGGUAGCCGAGCUGAGAGGCUGAUCGGCCACACUGGAACUGAGACACGGUCCAGACUCCUACGGGAGGCAGCAGUGGGGAAUAUUGGGCAAUGGGGGAAACCCUGACCCAGCAACGCCGCGUGAGGGAGAAGGUUUUCGGAUUGUAAACCUCUGUCGCAGGGGACGAAGAAUGACGGUACCUGUAAGAAGCCCGGCUAACUACGUGCCAGCAGCCGCGGU
rnacentral:rRNA from 1 species